rnacentral:tRNA from 1 species
UGGCUCAGUGGUUAAGAGCACUGAAUGCUAUUCCAGAGGGCCUGGGUUCAAUUCCCAG